UUUUCCCUUACUGAUUACCUUUUUCGGUUUAUAAUUUUCUGUUUUAGUCACUUAGUAUAUCUUGUUUGCUUUCCCGUACUCAAGUAUGCAAAGCAUUUGCUCAAAGAGGUAUUUCUCUUUUUCUUGGGUUUUCAGAAUGAAGCACCUGGCUUUAAGUAUAACUCUCAUGGAAGGGUGGCACACGCUGGUUUUAAUGCAAAGGUCCAUGAGUAUUCUGACAGUGAAAGAGAGGAAUUAGAGUAUGAAACAGAAAUCGAGGAUAUGGAGAGCUCACCAACAUAUGGAAGAGAAAAUGAGCUGGAUGAAAAUAAUUGAUAUGAACGUUUCAAAAAAAAAAAUUUGAUAUGAUCAAGACCUAGAAGAAGACUUCGGUUUUACUUCUAUGUCAGAUGAAGAGAUUGAGGAACAAGAACCUAAGAGGGAACCAAGGAAGCACCGCCGCAAGGUGAUCGACUCUGAUGAUGAAUCUUCACCGCCGAGGAAACAACCUCUCAAACGUGGAAAGGCAAUUGUUUUUGACAGUGAUGAUGAGUGAGAAAAACUAUCAGCACAAAAGUGUCACCGUAUGAGUUUUUUAUAUGGAGUCUGGUAGCUUCGUUUAUUUCCCUUAUUUGCGCGACGAAAGUUGGACAUGUUUAUGGAUGGGAUGCUUAGUUCCUCACUGUCAGUUAUUCUCAUCAACACAGAGCAUGUUUGUGUUUUUUUUCCCAUCCUUCUGUCCAUGGACGAGUUGAUCAAGCUGGGUAAAAAAAACUCUGCUAUUUUUGUA